rnacentral:lncRNA from 1 species
CAACACUUUCACUAAAAUUAAUUUGGCUCGUUUAAUUUUCAUAAAAUUUUGUCAAAGUAUUUACUUUGAGACUUGAUUAAAAAUAUAAAAAUUUAAAAUUUUUUGAACCAACCGCUUUGUCAGAAAAAUUACACUGGUUAUAUAGCAGUUUGACAAACACCAAUUUUGAUCAUUGAGAAGCUUAAUAUUCCUUUUACAACACAACGUAAUUAAAACGUUUAGCUGACUUUACAGAGUUAUCUCCCUGUAGUGUUAGGUACCACCUUAAUGAUU